rnacentral:rRNA from 1 species
GUGAGGAAUUUUCCGCAAUGGGCGAAAGCCUGACGGAGCAAUGCCGCGUGAAGGAUGAAGGCCUAUGGGUUGUAAACUUCUUUUCUCAGAAAAGAAUUAUGACGGUAUCUGAGGAAUAAGCAUCGGCUAACUCUGUGCCAGCAGCCGCGGUAAGACAGAGGAUGCAAGCGUUAUCCGGAAUGAUUGGGCGUAAAGCGUCUGUAGGUUGUUUAAAAAGUAUUCUGUCAAAGAUUAGGGCUUAACCCUAGAUAGGCAGAAUAAACUUUUAAGCUAGAGUUUGGUAGAGGCAGAGGGAAUUCCCGGUGGAGCGGUGAAAUGCGUAGAUAUCGGGAGGAACACCAAAGGCGAAGGCACUCUGCUGGGCCAAUACUAACACUGAGAGACGAAAGCGAGGGGAGCAAAUGGGAUUAGAAACCCUGGUAGUAC